UGGAAUAGAGGCACACUAUUUUAGGGAG
rnacentral:piRNA from 1 species